UGGCAUAGUUUCCAACAUAUUAACUAAACCAAGCACAAGCAACUCAAAUACACAUAUAGCUCUUGUUAUUGUGAAGUAAAUUUGGCAUGGCAAGUCAGGAGGAUGAUCGUCUUCUUAACGCUGGGUUGGAAGGCUUUUCAACCUUGGACGAGCGGCAGAAAAGGAGGGCAGUAGCUGGGGGUGAGAGGGCACGUCGUCCUAAUGAUAAGAAUAAUAAUAAUCAGGGAAAUGAAUUAGCUCCUGCAAUCAAUAGCAAAGAGGCAGCUCGACUCUACGGUGGCGUAUUGAUAGAGCCAGUCAUCACUAGCGACAAGGCGGCCAUACGCUAUGGUGGCGUGGUCAUAGGGACUCCUAUCACUAGCAAUCAGGCUGCUCAGCGUUACGGCGGCAUUUUGAUUCCAGGUCGUCCUAAGAAUGGUUUAGUUUCUGGGGCUUAAUUAAUAGGCUACCUCCAUGCCUCUAGCUUCUAUAGCCUCAAGGAGUAUAUUAUACAUGUUAUGUUGGUGUGUCAUCUCAUCCCUAUGCCUAAAUAACCUUAAUUUUCUUCUACUUUUAUGCUAAGUCACAAGUUUGUAGUAUUAUGUAUUUAUGCACUAGUCCUGAACAGAAGCACUGAUAUCAGUAAAAGGAACACAAAAUUAUCAUAUGGUUUUGGCUUUUAAUAUUUAGAAUUUAUGGUUUUUUAGCUCUUCAACUUAGAAUUUUUAUUUGGUGUAAG
rnacentral:misc_RNA from 1 species